GGAAAGGGAGGCAAGAGGAGAGACCCGAGGCGGCCGCCGGUGUCAGGUGAACUGAACUUCAGGGUCAAAAAUGCUACACCUCUCACCGACACGCUCAGUGUGUCCUUUGGCAUUAGCGCUGUGACACACCAGAGGCUAUGGCUACUUUGACAGAGGUCUGUCAUUCCCAUCUUGUCACGUAUGAAGACUUAGGACCUCUUGGCAACACUUUGGAUGCACAGAGAGAACCAUUAUCUUUCAGCGCACACUGCAUCCGUGGGAGACCUUGUGAGUAUCUCUGCAACACCAGCAGCAUCUGUCAGAAUUGCAGAAUCAGACGCGCUGGGAUGAGAACAACUUUUAAAAACACUUUUAACAGCAGUGACAGCUGCAGCUUCGAUGUCCACAGCGUAACAUGAAGACAAAAAAUGCUUUCCAAAAACCAGCUACAGACAAGAAAUUGCAGCAGUGUUUCCAUAGAGCUGGGAAACAUGGUGAUACAAAAGUCUGUAAAGAAAAAGCAGUAAAGAAUUUCAAAUGUUUGCCACCCUAAGGCGAUGGCCUGUUCUGAUAUCAAUGUGAGUACAUUUGAGUACAUUUAGUGAUGAAGGAAAAAAAAAUAAAGUAUUCCUGCUGCAGAGACUGUGAGAUGCUAUUGGUGGAAUGGUGACUGAGAGAAACAUAAGAGCUGUAAAUAGGCCACCUUCUGAAACACUCAGAUUACUGCAAACACUAGACAAAAAGAUUUGCACACACACACACACACACACACACACACACACACACACACACACGUAAGAAUGCAGACAGACUUACGGACAAGGAUGGAAGAAUACAGAAAGAGGUGUGUUAUAAUUAUAGACGGUGAAAUGAACCAAAAACACUCGGUGCAGUGUUACAGCUUUUAAGAUUUUCAAUAUUCUUUGUUCCAUAAAACCUGACCCUCUCUUGAUAAGCAUCAGCAAAUAAUCCAGCAAUAUUCACCAAUUUUCAUCAAACAACCUCAGAUAAGGCCACUUUGUAGAAUUAAUGGUGACAAUUCUCAGUUGCAGACAACACUGUGGCUGCUGUCACAUUCUUUGCAUCACCUCAUCAACUAGGGACAGGUUUGAGGCCCUAUUUACCGCAGAGGGGACGUCAUCAUUGGUGCUUUGGCUCAUCCACUAUGGUCUGAGGUAAUCACUGGAAUAUUGUGUUACCUAAAGGAUACAUUUAUCUAAUCUGUUUAUUUAGACAUUAUUCUUAUGUGUGAUUAGAAAUAAGAUAAAUGAUUAAUCCCUGACUCACUGCUAUCAACUACAGCUAAUUAAUCCCUGUAAGAUUAGUAUUUUACAGGGAUUAAUAUGAACUGGAUGUCUAUGACUGCACAUAAUGAUGAUUAUAUGUAUUAACCAACUGUACAAAAACAACAAAUGUUAUAAAGUUGUCCAAAAUAAACCAGCUUCCUGUCCUCUAUAGGAAUCAUGAGCUGUAGAA